rnacentral:lncRNA from 1 species
CCCCUGGUUAGCCUUGCGAUUGGUCUUUCACAUGAAAACCAUUUCAGCCUUUCAUGUCUCCACACAAUUGCUUGAUUAUGAAAUAUUACCAAAUUUGCUUUACCCUCUUCGUUUAUCCUUCCAAGCUUUUGCCUUGCAUCCGAAGGCCAAGUGUUCUUGGAACAUUUAUGUCAUGAUGCGGAAUCAAGUGAGGAUUACAACUUCUAAGUGGCAUUUGGCAUGGUGAUUUUCUUUUAUUGAGUUGACAAGUAACAAAAAUCACGCGGUCCAAGCAAUGAAGCAAUUCAAAGAUGAUAUUUAUCACAACUUGACCAA